CUUAUAUGAAGAUACGAAUUUGGGGGAACUGGAGUAUAACUAAAGUCAUUGUUUUACACAAUAAUCGGGUGAAUACAUAAUUCAAUUAAUUAUGCCAAAGCUGUCGAAUGAAUAAGAUUUCAAGAAAUGACAAACUAAUUACCGACGAAGUAGCGUGUAAAAAAAGACAUGAAGGUUGCUCAUAUACUUGAUGAUUCAGAGAAAAGGGUCUAUUAUUUAGAAACAGAUGUGGAACGAACGGCAUAUGUGAAUUUCAUAAAAAACUGAUAUAUUAGAAAAGAUAUUCUCCAAGGUAUUAAUGACAUAAUACUAAAAAAAACAGAAAAAUAAAAACAUUUUAUAUAAUUGUUCAUCGUAGAUAUGUUAUAAGUGCCAAUCUUAGAUGAGCAAAAAUAUACGUUAGAAUCAGUAACUUAAUUUUAAUUUAAUAAAAAAUAUGUUUCAAUGCAUACUAUUCUGUAUAACAGUGUCUAAUAAUUACGGAAAAGAAUCAUAAGGCGGAAUCUAAAAGCUUGUCAAUAUCUUGAAAGACAGAAUGUAAACUGCUUCUGAGGGAUCACUCUUUUAUCAAGAUUAUGAACCAUUUCUUCUUCCGAAAGCAUUUACCUACUCUUAAUUUAUUGAAUUUUCUUAGUAAACUUUUUUUUAUUUCUGUUUUCUUUAUUUUUACUUUAUUUUAUUAACUGAAUUAUUAAUAUCGAAAUCACAAAAUCAA